rnacentral:rRNA from 1 species
UACGUACCGUCCAAACGUUAUUCGGAAUUACUGGGCUUAAAGGGUACGUAGGCGGCGCUGUCAGUCGGGUGUGAAAGCCCUCGGCUCAACCGAGGAAUUGCGCCCGAUACUGCAGUGCUUGAGGGAGACAGAGGUAAGCGGAACUGAUGGUGGAGCGGUGAAAUGCGUUGAUAUCAUCAGGAACACCAGUGGCGAAAGCGGCUUACUGGGUCUCUUCUGACGCUGAGGUACGAAAGCUAGGGGAGCAAACAGG